rnacentral:rRNA from 1 species
GAGUGGCGGACGGGUGAGUAACACGUGGGUAACCUGCCCUUAAGUGGGGGAUAACAUUUGGAAACAGAUGCUAAUACCGCAUAGAUCCAAGAACCGCAUGGUUCUUGGCUGAAAGAUGGCGUAAGCUAUCGCUUUUGGAUGGACCCGCGGCGUAUUAGCUAGUUGGUGAGGUAAUGGCUCACCAAGGCGAUGAUACGUAGCCGAACUGAGAGGUUGAUCGGCCACAUUGGGACUGAGACACGGCCCAAACUCCUACGGGAGGCAGCAGUAGGGAAUCUUCCACAAUGGACGCAAGUCUGAUGGAGCAACGCCGCGUGAGUGAAGAAGGCUUUCGGGUCGUAAAACUCUGUUGUUGGAGAAGAAUGGUCGGCAGAGUAACUGUUGUCGGCGUGACGGUAUCCAACCAGAAAGCCACGGCUAACUACGUGCCAGCAGCCGCGGUAAUACGUAGGUGGCAAGCGUUAUCCGGAUUUAUUGGGCGUAAAGCGAGCGCAGGCGGUUUUUUAAGUCUGAUGUGAAAGCCCUCGGCUUAACCGAGGAAGCGCAUCGGAAACUGGGAAACUUGAGUGCAGAAGAGGACAGUGGAACUCCAUGUGUAGCGGUGAAAUGCGUAGAUAUAUGGAAGAACACCAGUGGCGAAGGCGGCUGUCUGGUCUGUAACUGACGCUGAGGCUCGAAAGC